GGUUUGAUCAUGGCUCAGAUUGAACGCGCUGGCGGGAUGCUUUACAUGCAAGUCGAACGGCAGCACGGACUUCGGUCUGGUGGCGAGUGGCGAACGGGUGAUAAUGUAUCGGAACGUGCCUAGUAUGCGGGGAACUAACUACGCGAAAGCGUAGCCUAAUACCGCAUACUGCGCCCUUCGGGGAAAGCAGGGGACAGCUUCAGGCCUCGCACUAUUAGAGCAGCCGAUAUCCGGAUUAGCUGAAUUGGUGGGGUAACGGCUCGCAAGGCGACGAUCCGUAGCUGGUUUGAGAGGACGACCAGCCACACUGGGACUGAGACACGGCCCAGACUCCUACAGGAGGCGCUGAUCGGUACCAGAUAAUGGGAAGCCUGGUCCAGCCGUCGCAUUGACCGAUGAAGAGCCUUCGGGUUUGUGGCUUACUUUUUGGCGGAAAACAUGCAGGAUAUGCCCGUACAGCAAUACCUGCAGAAUAAGCACCGGCUAACUACGUGCAACUGGCGCGGUGUACAUGGGGUGCAAGCGUUAAUCGGAAUUACUGAACGUAAAGCGUGCGCAGGCGGUUCGGAAAGAAGAUGUGAAAUCCCAGAGCUUAACUUUGGAACUGCAUUUUUUGCUACGAAGAGCUGAGUGUGUCAGGAGGUGGAAUUCCGCGUGUAGCGGUGAAAUGCGUAGAUAUGCGGAGGAACACCGAUGGCGAAGGCAGCCUCUGGGAUAGCUUACUGACGCUCAUGCACAGCGAUGAGAGCAAACAGGAUUAGAUGCCCUGGUAGUCCACGCCUAAACGAUGUCAUGGCUGUUGAGGCCUUGGGCCUUGAUGGCCUGUACUUAACGUGAAGUUGACCGCCUGGGGAGAUACGGUCGCAAGAUUAAAACUCCAAAAGGAAUUGACGGGGACCCACUGACGGUGGAUGAUGGUUAGUUGUUCAGCGAAAGCCUUACCCUUGACAUAUCUGGAAUCGAAGAGAUUUGGGAGUGCUCGCAAGAGAACCGGAACACAGGUGCUGCAUGGCUGUCGUCAGCUCGUGUCGUGAGAUGUUGGGUAAGUCCCGCAACGAGCGCUGACAUAUCUGUUAGUUACUUUACGAAGGCACUCUUGAGGCUUGCCGGUGAUAAACCGGAGGAAGGUCGAGGAUGACGUCAAGUCCUCAUGGCCCUUAUGGGUAGGGCUUCACGUCAUACGAUGGUCGGGACAGAAGGGUCACGCCAACCCGCGAGGGGAGCCAAUCCCAGAAACCCGAUCGUAGUCCGGAUCGCAGUCUGCAACUCGACUGCGUGAAGUCGAAUCCGCUAGUAAUCGCGGAUCAACGUAAUAAGCGGUGAAUACGUUCCCGGGUCUUGUACACACCGCCCGUCACACCAGCAGGGAGUGGUUUUGCCAGAAGUGAUUAUUUAGCGUAAGAAGGCGAAUUCACCGGUAGGAUUCAUGACUGGGGGUGAAGUCAGCAACCAAUUCA
rnacentral:rRNA from 1 species